AGGCUCUUCCAGGCCAGCAGAGCGGGCGGCAGGCGCAGGGACAGGAAAGCCGCGCGCAUCUUCUCCGGCGACAGCCCCGCGUCCCACAGGAUGGAGGCCGUGGCCCCCACCGCGUAGCCCCUCUGCAGCCCCUUCCUCGGCCAGGGUUUCCCGUUGAGCCAAAACUCGGCGAUGCCGGUGGCGGAUUCCCAGCUGGCGCAGACGUGCUCCCAGUCCCUGCGGCUCUCGGGGACACGGAAGAUGAAAUACUCCUUCUUGUCGUCGCCGCCGGCCUGGCCGCCCUCGGCGUUGAUGAUGGCGGUGUCGGCGUCCGGAGCGUCGUCCGAGCCUUUGGCCUCGUGGGUCAGCCCAUCCUCCCUCCAGGAGAUAUCUCCUGUUCAUGGCCAGUGAGUCCCAGGGCAUGACUGAUAAAAUUCCAUCAUCCCACUGGGAGAUGCUCCAGCCAGGGGAGGAGCCAAGCCUUUCCUACCAGAUAAAAACUGAGAUUUGGGACAGCAAGUUAUCCACCUUUCCACUGGAUUCCAGAGGAAAACCAGACCUUUCCACAUCAUCCCUGCACCUUCAGAGGAAACUGCACCUUCUCCAGGAGCACUGCUCCAGCUGAACCACAUCUGCCCCUGCAGGAGGAUGCAGCCACCAUUGAAUGGGACUGUGCCAACACCCUGACUGACAGACGGGUGUCAGCUUGGAUUCUGACUCUGGCAGGGUUUGGGAUUGUUCUUUGUAAUACUGUAUUUCUAUUUUAAUUUUCCUAGUACAGAACUGUUAUUCCUAAUUCCC